AGAACGAACGCUGGCGGCGAGGCGUUAACACGAUGCAAGUCGAGCGAGGACUUCGGUCCUAGCGGCGGACGGGUGAGUAACGCGUGGGAACGUGCCCCUUUCUUCGGAAUAGCCUCGGGAAACUGGGAGUAAUGCCGAAUACGUCCCGUAAGGGAGAAAGAUUUAUCGGAGAGGGAUCGGCCCGCGUUGGAUUAGGUAGUUGGUGGGGUAAUGGCCUACCAAGCCGACGAUCCAUAGCUGGUUUGAGAGGAUGAUCAGCCACACUGGGACUGAGACACGGCCCAGACUCCUACGGGAGGCAGCAGUGGGGAAUCUUGGACAAUGGGGGCAACCCUGAUCCAGCCAUGCCGCGUGAGCGAUGAAGGCCUUAGGGUUGUAAAGCUCUUUCAGGCGGGAAGAUAAUGACGGUACCCGCAGAAGAAGCCCCGGCUAACUCCGUGCCAGCAGCCGC
rnacentral:rRNA from 1 species